rnacentral:misc_RNA from 1 species
AUAGACGGGUAAGGGGCGUCACAGAUUUGUCCCAUCUAAUUCUUUCCCAGACUUAGUUCGACUUAGUCCAACUUAGUCCAUCUCUUCUAGCCAUUGAAUUGGAGAAAAACCAUUAAUAUUGAGGCCAUCAUCAAUUUUGUAAUAAUUUACUUUUUCACGCUUUUACCUUGUAAUAAUUAAAUUUUAAUAUUAGCAUCAUUAAUAAUAUAUAUAUAUGUUAACGCUUCCUAAAUUAUGUUAUUAGGAUAAUAGUGUUACAAUUGAGUUUUACUAUAACGAAAGAGAGAAAAGAAGAAUAUAGCCAAUGUAAAAGAGUUAAUUUAGAAAUAUAUAAUAAGG